rnacentral:rRNA from 1 species
CCUGUCGUGAGAUGUUGGGUUAAGUCCCGCAACGAGCGCAACCCCUACGUUUAGUUGCUAACGCGUGAAGGCGAGCANNNNAGACGAACUGCCGUUGACAAAACGGAGGAAGGUGGGGAUGACGUCAAAUCAUCAUGCCCCUUAUGUCCUGGGCUACACACGUGCUACAAUGGCCGGUACAAAGGGAAGUGAAGCUGCGAGGCGGAGCAAAUCCCAAAAAGCCGGUCUCAGUUCGGAUUGCAGGCUGAAAUUCGCCUGCAUGAAGUCGGAAUCGCUAGUAAUCGCAGGUCAGCAUACUGCGGUGAAUACGUUCCCGGGCCUUGUACACACCGCCCGUCACACCACGAAAGCUGACAACACCCGAAGCCGGUGACUUAACCUGAAAAGGAGAGAGCCGUCGAAGGUGGGGUUGGUGAUUGGGGUGAAGUCGUAACAAGGUAACCA